rnacentral:lncRNA from 1 species
GACAUUAUUUUAAAAUUUUGAUGUAAAUGUUUAAUAUUUAAUUUUUAAUUUUUAAUUUGAAUUUAAAUUAAUAUAUUAUAAAGAUAAUGUUAGUAUAUUAAUUUGAUUGCGUUUUUUAUAUCCACCUGAACCAAACACCGACAAUGGGAAUGAUUUAUUCUGAUUCCGAUUCUAGUGAUGAACUAAAUAGAAUUAAGUAAUAAGUCAUUCCGAUUUCAAUUCCAACUUAUUUUGAUUCCGAUUCCGAUUCCGACUCCGACUUCGAACCAAACACGCCCUUAAAUUUGAAGGAACAUAUUAGUGUUUUUUUAAAAAAUAAAAA